rnacentral:rRNA from 1 species
UACGAAGGGGGCUAGCGUUGCUCGGAAUCACUGGGCGUAAAGCGCACGUAGGCGGACUCUUAAGUCAGGGGUGAAAUCCUGGAGCUCAACUCCAGAACUGCCUUUGAUACUGGGAGUCUUGAGUUCGGGAGAGGUGAGUGGAACUGCGAGUGUAGAGGUGAAAUUCGUAGAUAUUCGCAAGAACACCAGUGGCGAAGGCGGCUCACUGGCCCAUAACUGACGCUGAGGCACGAAAGCGUGGGGAGCAAACAGG